rnacentral:rRNA from 1 species
CGUAGGGGGCAAACGUUGUCCGGAAUGACUGGGCGUAAAGGGCGAGUAGGUGGUUUGCCAAGUCAGGAGUGAAAACUCCGGGCUCAACCUGGAGAUUGCUACUGAAACUGGCAGACUUGAGUGCAGGAGAGGGAAGCGGAAUUCCUAGUGUAGCGGUGAAAUGCGUAGAUAUUAGGAGGAACACCAGUGGCGAAGGCGGCUUCCUGGGCCUGUAACUGACACUGAGGCGCGAAAGCGUGGGGAGCGAACAGGAUU